GCUCUAAAUGGGAGGUAAAUUUCUUCUAAAGCUAAAUACCGGCCAGAGACCGAAACGCACAAGUAGAGUGAUCGAAAGAUGAAAAGCACUUUGAAAAGAGGGUUAAAUAGCACGUGAAAUUGUUGAAAGGGAAGCGUUUGCGACCAGACUUUUUCCAGGCGGAUCAUCCGGUGUUCUCACCGGUGCCCUUCGCCUGGUUUAGGCCAGCAUCGGUUUCCUUAGGGGGAUAAAGGCUUGGGGAACGUAGCUCCCUCGGGAGUGUUAUAGCCCCUUGCGUAUACCCCUCGGGGGACCGAGGAACGCGCUUCGGCAAGGAUGCGGCGUA
rnacentral:rRNA from 1 species